AUUUUUCAACCUCCACUGGAUCACACAGGGCCAGUUUGUGCUUGGUGCAUUGUAAGGGAGAGAGAAAGUCCCUCCUAAUGCUCCCAAAGUGACCUUUCUGUUCCUAAGAGGGAACAGCU
rnacentral:snoRNA from 1 species